GGUGGGGCUUGAACUCACAACCCUGAGAUCAAGAGUCACAUGCGCUUCCAACGGAACCAGCCAGGGCUCAAGACUGCCCCAUUUAGAGCAGGAUGGCUCAGCUGCCACAGCCCCCAGCCACCUUCCCACCGACAUUCACCUUGCUUCUCCCGGAGUGACUUCUGAAAAUUCAGCGCCUCCUUGGUCAUGUCCAUCUCCCGCUUGAUGGCAUUGAUGCGCUGCGUGGUCUCGCUGGCUCUUUUCCUCCGCUCAUUCAAGAUGGAUUUGUUCUCUUUGAAGAUGCGGUUGAUCUCACUGCCCCGCUCAUUCUUAAAGUCCUCGAAGGCCACAGGUUUGGGGGGUGGGGUACUGGGCCUGAAGACAGAAGGGGAGGGGAAGGGAGGCCGGAGCCACCAGGCUCUUCGCCUCUCUUCGCGGGGGCGAGGGGGGGUGUUCUGUGGGCAGGAGGCCAGAACUCUCAGGCACCCUAUGCAGGAACUGCUCCCCUGUCUCUGUCUCUCUGCACACAAGGGCAUGUGACCAUUGCAGAAAGUGAGGACGGCAAGGAAAAGUAUAAAAAACAGAAAACAAAGCAAAAAACCACUCGCUACCUAUUGGCAACCACGCUUUGGUCUAUCUCCUUCAGGGAUUUCUUUGAUACAUUUUUUAAUGUUUGAGGUCACGCAGUAGAUGUGAUUUUACGUCUUAUGUUUUUCACAGAGGCCUGCCUUCAUGCGCUAAGGCACUCUGGGAACUCUGGUUAAUGACAGAUCUGCUCUCAUGCGGAACACCUGCUGCUUCUGGAAAGGCGUGGGAAUGGAAAAAAAUCUGAAGUGAAUGCCAUCAACAAGAAGCAACCAUGCAUACCUUCUGGACUGCAGAAAUGGCGGUGAAGUCAUUCUUGUCUAUGAGGGUGUACUUCCUGCGCAAAGCGGACUCCACUUCCUGUUCCUGUUGGCUUGAAAAAGAGAAUGAGAGAACACCUCGCACCUUGGCACCAGGCUGAAACUUUCAGAGCAAGAACCAAGAAUGGGAAUUAGAAGUCAUUUGGGUGUGGCCCCUUGUGAUGGAGCCACACCCUCAUCAUGAACCAGACCAAACAAGCCCAUUCCACACCCAGAUUCCUCAGUGCACACACCCACUGUCCAGCCCUAAAAUCCACAGUGGCCACCCUUGUGCACCAGGCACUUCUGCUCCAAGAAAACUUUAACAAGGACUGUAAGCCUGCCUUGGGACCAUGCUUUCCCACCUAGGUUCCAUCCUUAAAAGGCCCUUGGCAAUCACGUGACCCACACCUAUGCCACCACCCAGCACGAGCUGCUCAGUCCACAGGUAUGUCUGCACCUAAAUAAACUGCAAAUGCCUCCUGAGGUGGGGGUGGGGCACAGGGAGUAUUCAGGAUGCCCCGCUCUGGCCACACUCAGGGCUGGCACUCAAGGACCUCCCGUCUAAUUAAGGAACUCAGGAAACACCCACCAGGGACUACUUCCUCUCUGAGUUGUCCUUGAAUGGAGGGUUCUCCUUCCUGCUUCCCCCAGGGGAAGGGGAGGGCUGGAGGAUCUGAGAGCUCAGGGGCCUGGGCACACCCCCAGGACUCUGAGCUGGCUUCUCACCCACGAGAGACAAGGCAGUGUGCUCUGAGGUCACACCCUGACCAUGGGAAAUGAAAAUGGCAGCCUGAUGUGGGAGUCAGGUGGGUGGGUGGGGAGAGUCCCUUACCUCAGCACCACCCGGAACUGGUUGAACACCUCCUGGAUCUGUCUGAGGUUGAUGAUCUGGAGGGAAGACAGCAAGGCAGACAUUGGGCCUCAGGCCACACAGGACGGAGGGUGUGUCUACGGUUAGUGAAGAAACCAGGACUCCUUGGCUAACUUUGAUCAUGUCUUGAGAAUGAAACAUCUGAAACCUCCUCAAGAACAGAGAAACAAUUGAUUCAUGGUUUUCAAACUAAGUAUUUACUGAGGCUGUAAAAAUGACCUUUCCUAGGGCACCUGGGUGGCACAGUCAGUUAAGUGGCCGACUCACGUUUUCUUCGGCUCAGGUCGUGAUGUCAGGGUCCUGAGAUGGAGCCCUGCAUUGGGCUCUGCGCUCAGUGGGGAGUCUGCUUGAGAUUCUCUUCCUCCCUCUCCCUUUGCCCCGCCCCCUGCCAUGCUUGCACGCUCACGCCCUCUCUGAAAUAAAUGAAUCUUUAAAAACUACCUUUUCUAAGUGAAGGUAUCUACAAAAUUAAAAUGACUCUAGUUCUUGAAUAUACUAAGAAAAAAAUUUUAAUAAAAUUUACUGUCUUCAGCUCUC